ensembl:lincRNA
GGAGCACACUGGCCCACGGUGCGUCAGGUGUAGCCGAGUGGCCCCGGGUGGCCGCCGGAGGUCCUGAGGCCAAGGGCUCCGGAGACACUAGGAGAGGCAGGGUUAUCUGGACGAGCGGGGAUGCUUCCUAAGGUCGACGGCCGCGCUGGAUCCUGCCUUUCGGAGUAAGGAUGAUGUCACCCAGACGCCCACGGCUCUGACAUGGGAGCACCGGCCUUCUGCAGACUCAGAUCAUUGGAGUGACAUCAGCCGGGCAGCAGAGGACACCGUCCUCACCCGGGAUCCCAAGCUUCCUGUGUGACCUUUCCGGAGACCUCAGCAGCCAUGGCCAUCUCUAUUGCCAGUGGCUCCUUACAGCUCUGUCCAGCUCUGCAGAGGAAAGAACAGGACAGACUUCCCAAUCUGCACCUGGUGACAAAGUGCACAGACUUUUAAAUUCUUGGGCACUGUCAAGACUGGACAGAAGCACAGGACAGAUGAGCAACAAGGGAGUAAAGAAAUGGAUACAUUCUACGUCUUCCAAGGUCUUCCAUCUUAUUUGCUGGCCCCUCACUAGAAGGCUGGUAAUGCUGUCUUCCUAUGGCCACUGGAGAAACAGGCAAGGAGAUAGAGAAACAAUUUGCAAAGACCAUCCAUCUAUCUAAACUUGGCAGACUGUUGCUGGUCCACCAGUUCUCUGUUCUCCAUGCCAGUAUUAGAUCUAACUCUAUAAAUAUCAGUCUGAAGCCUAACCUUUGAGUGGUAACUUGUC